GAUGAACGCUGGCGGCGUGCCUAAUACAUGCAAGUCGAGCGAACAGACGAGGAGCUUGCUCCUCUGACGUUAGCGGCGGACGGGUGAGUAACACGUGGAUAACCUACCUAUAAGACUGGGAUAACUUCGGGAAACCGGAGCUAAUACCGGAUAAUAUAUUGAACCGCAUGGUUCAAUAGUGAAAGACGGUUUUGCUGUCACUUAUAGAUGGAUCCGCGCCGCAUUAGCUAGUUGGUAAGGUAACGGCUUACCAAGGCAACGAUGCGUAGCCGACCUGAGAGUGUGAUCGGCCACACUGGAACUGAGAGACGGUCCAGACUCCUAGGGGAGGCAGCAGUAGGGAAUCUUCCGGAAUGGGCGAAUGCUUGACGGAGCAACGCAGCGGGAGUGAUGAAGGUCUUCGGAUCGUAAAAAUCUGUUAUUAGGGAAGAACAAAUGUGUAAGUAAUUAUGCACGUCUUGACGGUACCUAAUCAGAAAGCCAGGGCUAACUACGUG
rnacentral:rRNA from 1 species